rnacentral:rRNA from 1 species
GCAAGUCGAACGGUAGAGAUCCUUCGGGAUCUUGAGAGUGGCGAACGGGUGAGUAACACGUAGAUGAUCUGCCUUGAAGUUGGGGAUAGCCUAUAGAAAUAUGGGGUAAUACCGAAUAAUUUUUUACCAUUUUGAUGGUUUAAGGAAGGGGGCUUCGGCCUCGCUUUAAGAUGAGUCUGCGGCUUAUUAGCUAGUUGGUAGGGUAAUGGCCUACCAAGGCAACGAUGGUUAGCUGGUCUGAGAGGAUGAUC